GUCGCAUAGAGCGUGUCGAUUAGUUGAUAUGAGCGUCAUUUUUUUAUUUGGUUCGCCUGAAGGCAUUGGACCUAUGCUACUAGGGCCGUGGAUUGGGACUUCCGGACGUAACCAGUUCAUGAUCACGCGAACACGGGCGUUUGUAGGGUAACUCCUGAGACCGCGUUUGUGUAUUUAUAAGUGCUAGUUCACUUAGUCCCCGGGAUGUUAACCUGUUUGCGAGAUCGCAGGCGUAGGUGUGCAUAGAUUAUCGCGAAGGACUCAAGCGUUUGUAUGUUAACGUUUUUGUCGCAUGUGCUAGCGUGUAUGUAACUUCACGUGUAUAUAAAACAGACACAACAGAAAUACAAAUUGCCCAUCUAAAGGAGAAAACAGCACUAAUGGAUCACAGUAUUAAACACAAUCACAGGUUCGACUUUGAAAAUACUAGCAUAUUAGCCAAAAACUGUAAACCACAUGCACUUCCCUACAUAGAAGUAUGCCACAUAAUCACUAGCAAAAACAGUAUUAAUAAGCGAACAGAUACAGAAGGUUUAAAUUCCAUCUAUGCUGGAAUUAUUCACACUCUAGAUAUCGAGAAUCAAAACAAACGAAAAAUGACAACCAAUGUAACACGCAAUAGUAUAUGAUCACAAAACAGCAAUAAUACACACUCUCACAAACACACACGCUAUAAUCGAAUCAAAAGUAGUAGACAAGUAGGAAAGACAACACCACAGUUUCUCGCUCUGCGCAAAAGUUUUACCCGCGUUUCGCUGCUAUAAAAGCACUAAAACAAGACGAGCUUUUAAACACCGAUUAUUUUAAAGUGCGGUGCAGUAAAAAAUACGCAUAUGUACACUAUAGAAGGACGCCAUUAUAAACAUACACCGGACAACCUAUGUUGGACACAAACACACUUAACAAAAAAACGAACCGUUUCAACUCCUUGAUAAAGGUGAAAUAAAAUCACCGAAACUGUCGGAUUAAGAAGCAAUACUUCGUUUUUGCCGUUUUAUUUUGACUGAUUCAGCCGAUAACAUCCUCAGAACAAUUAACAACAGUCGUCAAACAACUUAAAAAAAAACUUCACGUGUAUAUUUUUUUUCUAUAACCGUGUUCCGCAUGUUCUUGAAUGAUCGCGUGCAGACCGUGAAUCUGAUACUUAAUUUUUG